AUUGAACGCUGGCGGCAUGCCUUACACAUGCAAGUCGAACGGCAGCACGGGUGCUUGCACCUGGUGGCGAGUGGCGAACGGGUGAGUAAUACAUCGGAACGUACCUUAUCGUGGGGGAUAACGCAGCGAAAGCUGUGCUAAUACCGCAUACGCCCUGAGGGGGAAAGCGGGGGAUCGAAAGACCUCGCGCGAUUAGAGCGGCCGAUGCCUGAUUAGCGUGUUGGUGGGGUAAAAGCCCACCAAGGCGACGAUCAGUAGCUGGUCUGAGAGGACGAUCAGCCACACUGGGACUGAGACACGGCCCAGACUCCUACGGGAGGCAGCAGUGGGGAAUUUUGGACAAUGGGGGCAACCCUGAUCCAGCAAUGCCGCGUGAGUGAAGAAGGCCUUCGGGUUGUAAAGCUCUUUGUCAGGGAAGAAACACCGGCUCUAACACAGUCCGGGAAUGACGGUACCUGAAGAAUAAGCACCGGCUAACUACGUGCCAGCAGCCGCCGUAA
rnacentral:rRNA from 1 species